GUAGGAGUUCCUGGCUCCAGAUGGGUCCCUCCCUCUGGGUGCUCCUGACUCCCUAGCUAGGCUUUGGAUAUAGCUCAUCACUUUACACUGAUACUGGAUCCUGUUAUUGGUGCUCUGCCUGCUGCCUUUAGGAACUCUGCUCUGUCAUCCUUGGCUCCUGGUUCACCUGUUUUCAAGCAGUAAUCCUGCCUUUGCUGCCUCCUGACCCUAGGGAUAGUGGUUUGAUACAUCCAGUGGCCGUGUACUUCUGGCUUCCAAUCUCCUGUCCCUCCUCUCCGCUCGUGAUUCCUGUUCCACUGCUUGGAAUCAUCAGAGGAAUUAAAUUAGGAUGCCCAAACCUAAAAGAAACCCGAGUGGAUAUCCAGUGGUCCCUGGAACCGCCUCAGGAUCUUUCAUCUGCCAUGUUUUAAUUAAUUUUAGUGCUAAGCCAGUAGUGGUGACUGCAGAACCAAAGGGCUCACUGGAGUGCCCAGGUUUCAUGAUCUUCUGCCCUUUGAGUUGUCCGGAUGGAAGGGGAUCAUCCAUGGCCUACCUGGAGCCACUGUCACCCCCUUACCGGGAUGGAAAACUCAGAUGCUCUCAGAAAAGCAGGUUAACCCUUGGGCUGGGCCUGCUCAGGUGCACGCUCAGCUGCAAGACUGCAGUCCGACUUAACCCCUGCAGCGCUGCUGCCUUUUUAAGGGCAGUUUCCCUGCUGCAGACAGCAAUAAAUCGCAGUCGCUCAUCCGUGGCACAGUUUAGUAAUGUGUUCACUAAGAGCAUCUCUAGCACUUCUCUCCAGCUCUUUAUGGGGUUACUUGUGCGUUCAGCCUCAGGGUCUGGCUGAGUCUUAAUGUUAAGACAUACAGUAUGAUCUGAUUUUGGAAGAGCUCAGUAUCUAAGAAAAUUAUCUGAAGAGUGAGUGCAGCUAUUGCAGAGCGUCCCUCCCCGUUGACAGCUGCCUCUGCAGUGAAUUCCAAGAUGUUUCCAGGAGAAGCACUGGCCCCGUUUUACACAUGCCUCUUAGGGAGUGCGAUGGCUAAAGUGCUUUUACAAGCUCAAAAAGAUGUGUUCGAGAAAGGGCGAUAAAACUGCUCAGCAUUAAGUAUGUAAAGAUUUUUCUUUAGCAGUAAAGACAGUUUGUGACAUUUUGCCAUCAGUCUUGAAUGCAGGUGUGCAUAAACACAUACACCUGCAUGCCUUUAGUCAUCACUUGUUAUACUUUUAUAGUCUUUUCCAAGUACUAUGUAACUUUAAGCAAAAAUAUAUUCAUUAUUUUCAUCGUGAACAUCUUCGUUCCAUGGAUUUCUAAGUGUGCAUAUAUAUAUGUUAUUCAGCACUUUCUAUUUUUAUUCAUGCCUACCUUUUCUUACAUGCAAAUGCACCCUGAGAUAUUAUGAUCUCCCUGCUUCUGUCGAUCUAUGGCUACAUAAAUGUUUCUCUAUGUAAAUAAAUUUCACCCAUUUUACUUUAAAA